rnacentral:rRNA from 1 species
CGAAGGACCCGAGCGUUAUCCGGAUUUAUUGGGUUUAAAGGGUGCGUAGGCGUCCUGGAAAGUUAUGGUUGAAAUCUCCUUGCUCAACAAGGAAACUGGCCGUAAAACUAUCAGGAUUGAGUACAUUUGAAGCGGGCGGAAUGUGUCAUGUAGCGGUGAAAUGCUUAGAUAUGACACAGAACACCAAUUGCGAAGGCAGCUCGCUAAACUGUAACUGACGCUGAGGCACGAAAGCGUGGGGAUCAAACAGGAUUAGAUACCCUGGUAGUCCACGCCCUAAACGAUGAUUACUCGAUGUGUGCGAUACACUGUACGCGUCUGAGCGAAAGCAUUAAGUAAUCCACCUGGGGAGUACGAUCGCAAGAUUG